ensembl:lncRNA
GACGAGGAGCUGCAUUUUCGUGUGGGGGCGAAAAAGAUGAAUAUUUUACUCCGAGACUAAAAAAAGACAUGCUGGUAUAGAAAGCAGCUAUCGCCAUGGCAACCGUAACAAGUUUAAGAUAACAGCGUUUCACGCAUUCUGAGGGAGGCGCCUUUAAUUACGUUUAUCCAUUAGACGAGGUCGCACAACGGGUUGAGGGACGAAAGCGUCGGCCCGGCGGCUGUCAGAAGUGGUUCUACGUGAACGAACACAACUUUCAUUACUUAUGAAGUGUUCUCUCGCUCGUCACAAACGCAAUGUGUGCCCGUAGGACGUCCGGAGGGUAGGUGAAGCUUCUUUUUCGGUUGUUCAUUCGUUGCACGUUUGUUAGUUCAUGAUCAGCGUGACGAUUCUGAAAGAUUUCCCUAAACUGAUUUCGCUGCUUUCUCUCAUCUUUAAUUUGGCCCAAGAGCAACACAUCAGUUUAGAGGGAAUCCGUCAAAAACUCACAGACAUCUGAAAAGAGGCUUCAACUAAACAUCACAAAGGCAAACAUUUUGGAGCCAAUUUGGGGAGUCGUCUGAUUCUACUCUUAGCUCACAACACAGCUGAUUGCAUCGCCGACCCCCAGAAACGGCGCCGCGCCAAAAGACACAUCUGGGGAAAAUAUUCUUCCU